CCUACGGGAGGCAGCAGUGAGGAAUAUUGGUCAAUGGACGAGAGUCUGAACCAGCCAAGUAGCGUGAAGGAUGACUGCCCUACGGGUUGUAAACUUCUUUUAUAUGGGAAUAAAAUGUUCCACGUGUGCGUUUUUGUAUGUACCUUAUGAAUAAGGAUCGGCUAACUCCGUGCCAGCAGCCGCGGUAAUACGGAGGAUCCGAGCGUUCUCCGGAUUUAUUGGGUUUAAAGGGAGCGUAGGUGGAUUGUUAAGUCAGUUGUGAAAGUUUGCGGCUCAACCGUAAAAUUGCAGUUGAAACUGGCAGUCUUGAGUACAGUAGAGGUGGGCGGAAUUCGUGGUGUAGCGGUGAAAUGCUUAGAUAUCACGAAGAACUCCGAUUGCGAAGGCAGCUCACUAAACUGCAACUGACACUGAGGCUCGAAAGUGUGGGUAUCAAACAGGAUUAGAUACCCCAGUAGUC
rnacentral:rRNA from 1 species